rnacentral:tRNA from 1 species
GUUUAACCCCUUCCCCCACUA